CUUCCUGUAUUUCCCAGCACUGCCCUAUCCUUAACUUCAGGAGCACUCACCUACCCUAGCUACAAGAUGAGCUGAAGAGACAGAAGGAAGCAGGGAAGGGCUGUGUGCUGAGCACUGGGGAGGAUCUUGUUGGUGAAAGGAGUCUGCACAUCCUCUUGGUGCACUGCCUUUCUGAUGAUGGGAUGAAUAUCCUGAUGUCCUCACCCAGCACACUCCAGCAGAGUGUCUGAGAUCAUGAGCAGAACCUGAAGGAGCUGACAAUUUGAAUCUUGAGGAUCUCUAAUUGUUAAUAAAAAGGUCUCAUGCCCUGGACCUCCUGAAUUCACAGUUUUCACAAUAUACAUGAUCUUUGCAUCAUCCAGGUUAAAUCUACCACAUCAACUGCAGCGAUCACAAACCGUAGUGCCUGAGGCCAGCUGUGAAUGCCACUGCAGCAAAGCUGUCACCACUGCUUAUCCAGACUGUGCAGAGGGAAAGCCUGCUUGGGAUGUGCAGCUCAGACAGUCUAAGUUGUCUUCUUGGCUUUAAUCUAUUUAAUUUUUCACAGUAAAAAUAUACAGUAGUCAUGAUCUCAUAUCUGAGUAGAAGAAAUGUGUAUUUUCACUCCAUUAAAAUAAAGGUAUGCAUGAAGUGCAGCAGUAGAAUAUCAAUGUGUGGAUCAGUCACAUUUUUCAUGAACUUUAGGUAAAAAAUUUAUGUUCAAGACCAAAAAAAAAUGCCCAUGGCUGCUUAUGUCAUCCAUCUACACCGAAAUUUCGUAUCUUCAGUAUUUUCUUCAAAGUGCUUAAAAAAAAUACUUAAUGUUGAAGGUGUAAGAGCUACUAAAAUUGCCUUCUUGAUGUGACUGCAAAAAUCCCUGUUUAUCUCCUACUGGAUCAUCUAUCCAUCCAAAACCAGCUUAUGCCAGUAAAGUUUCAUUUGAAUACACACUCCUCCUGUUGCUUAAGUGAGUUUCAAUUGGGCUGAUGGAAGGCAGCAGCUCUGUGAGUGCCAGCAGCCACAUCUAUUUUACUUUGCUCAAAUUGGAAAACAAGAAAAGAAAGAUCUGAGUAACUGAGCAAUUCAGAGAAACCUCAAUAUUGUCUUCAAAUGCAGUAUUGGUUGAUAACUUCAUACUUCCCUGGUUUUCUUCAGUGUUUGGUUUGAUGUUUUUCUUCUUUUCUGCAGAAAUGACCUUCUACAUUGAAAGUUGUCCAGCCUAAAAAUACGUGUCCUGCUUUUAUUUGAGAAACACCUGCUUCGCCCUGGUGCUUAACACCUUAUUUUUUUUUUUUUAAAAAAAAGAUAAAACACUCAAAGAACAAGAACAAUAACAACAAAAAGGAUUCACCACUUUUACUUGCAGGAGACAGAACAGCCUGACUUGCCAAUAUGAAAUCUGACUUUCUUCCUAAAACCAGUGGUCAAUGUUUUCAGUACAGCUAUAAAUGUUUGCUAGUGCAGCUCCAACAUCUGCUUUUGGCAGUUUACUUUUUUAUGUAAGCCCAUAUAAAUGGGCAAUGUAAAAUUAUUUUGUGACAUUAGUACCCAGUGACAGAAUACAAACACAGAGUGCUUGGUCCAGUGUUUAUCAGAGUAAAGUUCUCCUUGGAAUGGAAACCUGCAGCUUUUGAUUUGAGGGAUGAAAACUGUUGUGACAUACUGAAGCAAUCACUGGAAAGCCAUGUAGAAAUUGUCCAGAUCAUUCUCCUCACCCUCUUCCCACCUAAAUGUAAGUGCUUACAUUGUAAGUCUCUACACAUGAAGCUAUCCAUGAUUUUGAUUAUUUACAAGGUAGAAAAAGGCAGCCAAAUCACUAUUGUAUCUGUAAUUUUGUGCUUAGAUUCUUGGAUUUAAUGUGCUCUGCGUUUUUUUUUCCAUUCUUCAAUUGUAGAAGUUUCCUCUCCUCCUUUGUCCUCUAUUUCCAUUAUUUCACCUGCUUUUUUUUCCCCUGAGAACAACAUUGUGCUCCUGUGGAUAUUUGAAGCAAAUUAUUUGUCUUAUUUUCACAGUGUGAUUUAUCUUAUGUCUAAUAGGGAGAAAAAAUUUAUUCCUUCUUUGAUGUCUGUCUUGCCAAAACAUGCAGCUGAAGAACCUUUCCCCUCUCUUUUUCUGUACACCAACCAUCUCAUUGUGACUCUGUGCCUUUGUAAUACAUAACUUAAGUAACAUCAUUCCACUUCUGGUGACUAAUGGUUUCUAUUACUAGCUGUUUCUUAUUGGUGCCUUAUUUCUUUCUUGAUGUAGUUAUUCAGUUCUGUCUGAAACACCUUUCCCCACCGUAAAUGAAGGUCUUUUGAGGAGGUGAGGGAUGGGAAGAGCAGGUACCACCUUCAGCUUUACCUCUUCCACAGUCUGAAUUCCCAGGUCUGGCUGCCUUUUGUGGACUAAGGUAAUUAGCCAAAGACCUACCUCACUUUUCAUGGAGCAUCCUUAGUGUUCCCAGACAAGAGGUGCUGCCUCCUGCCCCUGUCCAUGCUGCCACUCCAUCCCUCAGCAGCUCCAGUCUGGGAGCCUCAUGUCUGGCUUCAGCUGCAGUGCACCAAAUCCAAUCAGUGGCUGUAGAUUUAAUUAGUUUGCACAAGAUGACUGCAUGAUGUGGUUAUAUCUUUUUCCUGUUCCCAGGCUGAUUAGGCCACAUGUGGAUUUUGUUGUCUUGGAGUUCAGGGCACUCUCUGCACCAGUCCUUAAUAAACAGAAGUAUUUAAGGAUAAAGUGCUGCUGUUUAAAUUCCUGCCAGUAUUUCAUCUUUAUUUUAAGUCUGUCUAACAAAGACUCUCAUGACUUCUGCAAAUGGAAGCAGCCAUGAACUCAUCUGAGGGAUCUGUGCAGAUCCAUCCAGAGCAGCCUGGAACUGUAGCAGAAACCCAGCCUUGACAGCAAGACACGAAUGCUUGAAUAAAAACAGGAAGUCUGUGGGGAAGGAUCAGUAAAAUAUUGAUUUAAUUAGUACUGCUAAUUUCUUAAACAAGCACACAAACUUUUUAAUGAAAAAGUGUACAGCUUUUCAGACUGCUCUUGGUAUAUUCUGAAUAAAAUCAAGCUACUGGCAUUCCCAGAACUCUAAUUUAUCUGCAGGCACUUGAAUGGUUUGAAAGCAGGCAAGGUUUUGGGUACUUCAGGAAAAGAGUGGUCUGAAGAUGAGCGUUGUAAAAUCAAAAAAAUCUAAAGGAUUUUCACAAAGUUAAUUAAUUAUAAGUUCUGAAGUGUGUUUUCAAGAAAUGCUUUACUGUAUUUGGUGAUGCUGUGGUUAUUGACAGCCUUGGUAAUGCAAUUAGGCAGCCAGUGAAGCACUGAAACUGAACAAUCAAAGGAAGUCACAUUAAAAAGCAGAAUCAACAGCCUGGUUUUUACCUAUGGUGCAUUCUGGGGACUGUGGUAAUGCUAAGCAGAUAUGGGUCAUUAUUGGAGAGCUGAAGAGAUAAUGGUCCAGCUUUAAAUCUGCAGAUUAGCUCAAUUAUGAUGAUGAAAAAGGGCAAUGUGAAAUCCUGCCAGGGGUGAGAGUAGGACUGUGUCAGAGCUGGUUCUCAGGUGUAGCUUUGUCCUGCCCUAGUUUGGUUUAGAUUGAAGAUUAUUGGAGAAUAUAGAUUGGAGUAGUUUAGAUUGUUCACAUAUUUUUGUUAAACUGACAUUAAUUUGACAUUAAACAGGUUUCUUGCAUUCAAAAUUAAUAUUUGAUUUUUGAGAGUUGAUUGUAAUAUGACCAAAAGAAAUUUAUGUGGGAAAUAAACAUAGCUCAAGAUAAAUUUAUUUUAAAACUUGAAUGAAUAUGCCCUUCCCUUUCCCUCCAUUUCCUUUAAAAAUUAUUUUUAUCAAUUCUUCAGUUGUAUUCAUGCAUUAAUCAGAGUAUCCAAAGAAUUAAUUGUUCUGCAAGAACAUGGAGACUGUGUGUAAAGUACUCCAUCAAUUUUGCUAUUACAUUACACAGAUGUACUCUGGCUACUAAUGAUGUUUUUUAGGGUUUUUUUGUGAUUUUGGCUCUUGAAUUACCAAUGUUUUUGUUGGUUAUUUUGUGAAUAGGUAAAAGGAUAUUGUCAUCUGAAAAAUUUCACUAAUUUUAUUUAUUUUUUUUCUUUUAUUUUUUUUUUAUUGUCUACCAUGUUAGACAAAAUGCUCUCUAUCUAAAAAUGACCCAACAAAUUAGAAAAUGAGAAAGCUUUAUUUUUUUUUCUCCCCCCAGGAAAUAAAAGCUUGACAUUUUUUAGUGUUGUAUCUUUGAAAACAAUCUGCCUGUCUGCAUAGUUGUGUUCUUUAUUUUUUUUUAGAUUUAAUUUAGGUACAACUUUUAGUUUAAUUUAGGUACAACUGACCUGUUGUCACUCAUUUUUCAAAGUUUGCAAACAUUUGAACUCCUUGAAGAAUCUGGCUUAGUGGAGACAUAUAUUUAUCACCUGACAUGACACAUGAAGAGCCCCAUGGAAGUAUAUUGACUGAGACUGCUUUGCAAAGUAGCUUGCUGGCUCUUUCAUCACAGGAGCAGCAAGGAGAUGUUAUCAAGGUGUUCUGUGGAAUAACUCAUUAAUAAAAUAUGUUUAAAACCGAAUGAGCCCUUCAGUGUCUCUGUAAAGGAGCAACUGGGACU